GUACACAGGGCAUGGUAUAUUGAUCAGCAGUGGGAAAAAAGUGCAUAGAUCAUUUAGUCCAAGAACUUAAAACUAAAUAGAGCCAUAAUUUACUUUGGAGAGUCAUUUGAAUUUGUCUUUGGUACCAACGAGAAGACAGAGCCAAAAACAAACUCUCCAAGUGUAUUCACACUUUCAACAAAAUUUUUGCAUGCCUUCUAUGUCGUAGGCAUUUUUAGUUCCUGGGGAUUUGGACAUAGCUAAGUCAGAGGAGGCUGUUGCUCACCAUGAACACUGUAUACCAGAAGGAGAGUGGGGAGGAGACAAACAACAAAUAAGACCACUUCAGACAAAGUAUCAGUUAAGAGAAGAAAACAGGCCUGACGCAGUGGUUCACGCCUGUAAUCCCAGUACUUUGGGAGGCCGAGGUUGGGGCAUCACCUGAGGUCAGGAGUUCAAGACCAGCCUGGACAACAUGGUGAAAUCCCAUCUGUACUAAAAAUGCAAAAAUUAACUGGGCAUGGUGGCAGGCACCUGUAAUCCCAGUUACUGGGGAAGCUGAGGCAAGAGAAUCGCUUGAACCUGGGAGGCAGAGGUUGCAGUGAGCCGAGAUUCUGCCACUGUACUCCAGCCUGGGUGACAGAGCAAGACUCCAUCUCAACAUCUAAAAAAAAAAAAGAAUAAAAACAGGGUAACAUAAUGCAAAGUAACUGUGUGGGGUAAAAAUUGAUUAUUUUAGAAAAAUGUCACUGGCUUAGGACAGGGAUAAUAUGUGAACAGAAAUCUAUCUGAUGAGAAAGAGCUACUGUUGUUGAAAUUACCUUAUCUGAGUGAAUGGUGUUUUUUUUUUAUCUUUUCCACACAUGCGUGGGAAAGGUAUGAUUUCUGCAUGUAAUUGCAGUUUAACCCUUAUUUCUAGGUUGAUCGUAGGUCCCAGUUUACCCAGGAAGAUUCCAGUUUAUACCUGUUGUACCUGUGUAAUUAUUGGUAGCACUCCCUUUCACUCUUACAAUGUCUUGGUUUGGAUGAUAUAUGGUGAAGUUUUUGUUGAAACUAAAUUAUGAAGUCUGAUAUAUUUGGAUAAAAAUAAAGAAUUGCUUUUCUUCUCCUUUUGCUGAUUUUUUGAUACAUCAUUCUAAGCAAAAUCAUCUCAGCUUCAUAUAUUUCAGCCUGAAGUAGUUCUUACCAAAGUUAUUUCAUGUAACACUUGUUCAAUAUGUUCGUGACAUGCCUUUCAGUAAUGAAAAGUUAUGCAUUUUGUUGAAUGAAUAAAAACCUAACCUCUGCUAUUUCCAUUUCUGGAAGUUGUAAGAGCUCACAUUAAAGAAAGUAAAAGUCAAUUUAAGCCAAGAUCGUUUUCAAACCACCAAUGUCAUGACUAUUGGAAAGGAAAACCUAAUGUGAUCAUUGAACUGAAUAAUUCUACAUAACAAGUGGAAACUAGACCUUUUUUGUAGCAUUUUCAUGAUAUAGGUCCUGUUAUAGUAAGAUAUUUCAUUCUAUUUAUCAAAAUGGUGUAAAUAAAAGAAACAAUUAUUUU
rnacentral:lncRNA from 1 species